AUGCACGCUGGCGGCGUGCCUAAUACAUGCAAGUCGAGCGAACGGACGAGAAGCUUGCUUCUCUGAUGUUAGCGGCGGACGGGUGAGUAACACGUGGAUAACCUACCUAUAAGACUGGGAUAACUUCGGGAAACCGGAGCUAAUACCGGAUAAUAUUUUGAACCGCAUGGUUCAAAAGUGAAAGACGGUCUUGCUGUCACUUAUAGAUGGAUCCGCGCUGCAUUAGCUAGUUGGUAAGGUAACGGCUUACCAAGGCAACGAUGCAUAGCCGACCUGAGAGGGUGAUCGGCCACACUGGAACUGAGACACGGUCCAGACUCCUACGGGAGGCAGCAGUAGGGAAUCUUCCGCAAUGGGCGAAAGCCUGACAGAGCAACGCCGCGUGAGUGAUGAAGGUCUUCGGAUCGUAAAACUCUGUUAUUAGGGAAGAACAUAUGUGUAAGUAACUGUGCACAUCUUGACGGUACCUAAUCAGAAAGCCACGGCUAACUACGUG
rnacentral:rRNA from 1 species